UUAAAGAUACCCUGAAAGGAUUAAAAUCCCAUUCAACAGAAAAUUUUGCCAGAUUUCCCCAACAAUUCUUCUACGAAGAUAACAGCAAAAUGCAAAACCAAAUGUUUUGCAAAUGCUCAAAUCAGAUAACAAAUGGAGGGGCCAACCUUUUCUGAGCGUGCCUUUGCUAUGCCUUCCAUCCCUUCUUGGUAUUAUUAUUAUUCGAACAGAAAGUCGUCAGCAGGUCAGAUUGUGCUGCUGGACAUGAAGCCUAAAAUUUGUUAAGCCCAGCAUAUAAAACAAUUUAUCAACCCUACAGAACUACUGCGACGGGGACAGGUUUUCUUGCUCCUCGGUAACGCUCUUCUAUAUCUGUUCCGUCGAUGCUUUAGAUAGCAAAAAAACGACCGAAACCCUUCGUAAUUCCAUCAGUCCGGGUGACCUGCGGGGGUCUGUUGCCUCUCCAACUCCUCCCUUCCGUAUCCAGCAGUGUCCCAGCGGGUCACCAGCCCGGGUGCGGAGGGUGGGAUUUUCCAUCAAAACGCUCCGUACACCCGUUUCGUCGCCAUUAUUUAUGACCAUAAACUUUCUGACAGCUCGUAAAGUAAGUAAAUAUAUCAAGACACAGGGCCGGAUGCGGCCCUGUUCGGUCCGGCCAAGAAGUUCGGCCGCAGCCUUCAAUCAAAUCGUCCCCUCGCCCCCACUAGCACGCAGGCACACACGCACACACGUCAUCACUGAUGGUGUCUGAGAUGGUUUAGCUGGCGAAGCGAUUGCAGUUUUCCACUCACCAGUCAGGUCCGUGGGGAAAUGGGGGCUACCCAAACAAGGAACACCCGGGACCCGAACUAAACUGUAUACAUGUAAUCUAAAAUAAAAGUUUUACCAAACAUGACGGCCACCAUUAGGGUGAUAGGCGUGCUCGGGAGGCGCUGUGGCGAUGAGUUGCAA